rnacentral:tRNA from 1 species
GCUUGCGUAGCUCAGGUGGUAGAGCACUUCCUUGGUAAGGAAGAGGUCAUCGGUUCAAGCCCGAUCGCAAGCU